rnacentral:snoRNA from 1 species
AUUUUAUUAAUUCACAACAAUAACUAUAAAUGUCAAUCAAAAAUUAUAGAAUCAAUAAAUAUUUUUUAUACAUUAUUAUAUUUUUUAUUUAAUUUUUUUAUUUUUUUUUAUAUUGUCAACCAAAAAUUUUUAAAUUGAAUAUUAAU